GCCGGGCACAUUGGCAUGUGCCUGCAGUCCCAGCUACUCGGGAGGCUAAGGCUGGAGGAUCUGUUGAGUUCAGGAGUUCUGGGCUGUAGCGUGCUAUGCCGAUUGGGUGUCCGCACUAAGUUCGGCAUCAAUAUGGUGACCUCCUGGGAGCGGGGGACCGCCAGGUUGCCUACAGAGGGGUGAACCAGCCCAGGUCGGAAAUAGAGAAGUAGCCUGGUGGCUGUUUCUGGUUCUGUUGAGUUUUGGGGGGGAAAGAUUUGUGAGUUUUUUGAUUUGGUGAAUGAACGAGUGGGCAGUGUUUUCAGAUUCU
rnacentral:SRP_RNA from 1 species